AUUGAACGCUGGCGGCAUGCUUUACACAUGCAAGUCGGACGGUAACAGGCCGCAAGGUGCUGACGAGUGGCGAACGGGUGAGUAAUGCAUCGGAACGUGCCCAGUCGUGGGGGAUAACGCAGCGAAAGCUGUGCUAAUACCGCAUACGACCUGUGGAUGAAAGCGGGGGACCGUAAGGCCUCGCGCGAUUGGAGCGGCCGAUGUCAGAUUAGGUAGUUGGUGGGGUAAAGGCUCACCAAGCCGACGAUCUGUAGCUGGUCUGAGAGGACGACCAGCCACACUGGGACUGAGACACGGCCCAGACUCCUACGGGAGGCAGCAGUGGGGAAUUUUGGACAAUGGGCGCAAGCCUGAUCCAGCAAUGCCGCGUGCAGGAAGAAGGCCUUCGGGUUGUAAACUGCUUUUGUACGGAGCGAAAAGGCUCUCUCUAAUACAGGGGGCUCAUGACGGUACCGUAAGAAUAAGCACCGGCUAACUACGUGCCAGCCGCCGCAGUAACAC
rnacentral:rRNA from 1 species